UACGGAGGGUGCAAGCGUUAAUCGGAAUUACUGGGCGUAAAGCGCACGCAGGCGGUUUGUUAAGUCAGAUGUGAAAUCCCCGCGCUUAACGUGGGAACUGCAUUUGAAACUGGCAAGCUAGAGUCUUGUAGAGGGGGGUAGAAUUCCAGGUGUAGCGGUGAAAUGCGUAGAGAUCUGGAGGAAUACCGGUGGCGAAGGCGGCCCCCUGGACAAAGACUGACGCUCAGGUGCGAAAGCGUGGGGAGCAAAC
rnacentral:rRNA from 1 species